CGGGGAGGCCUCAGUGUCUCCUCUCCUUCGGGAGAACGGAAGGACGCCUGCGGCCUACUCCCACUCUGAAUCAGACCUGACAAGAGCAUCUCUCACGGGCUAGGUGUGGUACUGGGAGCCGCAGGAGUCAGACCACCCAGACCAUGUGGAAUCUCACAGGAGGGAAGUGACACAGGUCCUUGACAUGAGGCAGAGAUCAACCUGAGAUGGGUACAGAUGAAGCCCCUGAUUGGAGAAAAUCGGUAAAGGCUUCCGAGAAGGACAUUUAAAGAAAAGUGGAAGUGACUGACAUAAAAAUAAAAAAUUGAGAGCAGUCAGUAGUUUGGUCUAACUGGCAGAGAGGGUGGUGCAAUUGGAGAGGUAGUGUAUGGACAUAUCCAGGGGCUGAAAUGAUGUGUGCUUGGUCAAAUACAGUGAUUCUAAAAUGGUCACGUGCUCAUAUAUCACUUGGAGAGCUUGUUCAGAUUCAGGUUCAAGAAGUCUGAGGUGGGGCGAUCCUGCUUUUCUACCAGAUUCCCAGGCAAUGCUAGUGUUGCUGGUUCAGGGUUCACAAUAUGAAGAGUGAAGAUGUGGUUUAUUCAUUCAACAAACAUUCUGUGUAGAAUGUCAUGACAUCCCAGGCUUGGUGCUGAGCAGAAGUGGAUGAAUGAGCCAUGUUUUUGCCUUUGUGCAAUUUAAAAUUUGAUAAAUGAUUUUUUUAAAGCAAACAUGAAGAUUCUGUUAAUUUAUAAUUUAUUAAAGUGUUAUUGCUAUAAUUGAAAAUGUUACAGAGACUUUUACAUU